rnacentral:rRNA from 1 species
UACACCCUGGGCUAUAACACCUCCACCGAAGUGGAGGCCACAUUCCCAGAGCCUUUAUCCGGCCGCCGAAACUGAUGCUGGCCUGUCCAAACUGAGUAAACCGGUCAGAAGACCGGCCGAACAGUUUAAACAAGUCUGAUUGCAAGCGCUUCCCUUUCAACAAUUUCACGUGCUUUUUAACUCUCUUUCCAAAGUGCUUUUCAUCUUUCGAUCACUCUACUUGUGCGCUAUCGGUCUCUCGCCAAUAUUUAGCUUUAGAAGAAAUUUACCUCCCAUUUAGAGCUGCAUUCCCAAACAACUCGACUCGUCGAAGGAGAUUUACAUAGGGUGCCAUUUCCUGUCACAUACGGGAUUCUCACCCUCUAUGACGUCCUGUUCCAAGGAACUUAGACAGGCGGCUUCCCCAAAUCAUCCUCUACAAAUUACAAUGCGAACCCGAAGGCUAGCUUUC